rnacentral:misc_RNA from 1 species
UAUAUCUCAUAUAAAUACAUUGGGGACAAACACGAAUACAAUCUUUUUGGAUAAGUCAUGUUCUGUGUGAAGUAUCCUCGAUUGUGAACCAAUUUAUGAUACUUUGUGCUAGAAAUACUGUCACUCAUAUUCUUAACAACUUAAGAAUAGAAUUUCUAACAAAAUAUCAAUGAACCUUUUCUAUUACACAUAAAUACAUUAUGUAAACGGAAAAGUGAAAUUACCUUUUAUUAAUAAAAUAUGUACAAGAUACAUACUAAAUGAUAUGCUCUAGGGCAUACUACUAACAGACAAGUAUAUGACUUAGAUUUACUUCAAAUUGAUAAUGUUUAAUCUAUACAAUUAGGAUUGGAGUAUGGAAAUCAAGAGGAAUGACUUAAUUUGAAUUUUGUGUUUAUCAAUGCUAUGAAAAUGACUUUGUUCUUCAGGUCCUUUAUAGUUUUUUUUUUCUUUUUUUU